AUUUUGGACACUUUCAUGAUUUUAUGUAAUAUUUUAAAAAUAUUUCUUCUAGAUUGUGACAUGAGGUUCCAUCAACAUAAGUUUGUUGAGCCAUACAUACAGGGGGCUAGAGUUGCAUCACUACUUGAUGAACUAUUGGAGUAAAGCUGAUAAACAAAACAUGAGACAGGGAAAAGAUGGGCGUAUACAAAAAGACUGAAGCAAAAUUCAGCUGCAAUACCUGAAAACAGG